rnacentral:rRNA from 1 species
UACAGAGGGGGCAAGCGUUGUUCGGAAUUACUGGGCGUAAAGGGCGCGUAGGCGGCCUGCUAAGUCGAACGUGAAAUCCCCGGGCUCAACCCGGGAACUGCGUCCGAUACUGGCAGGCUUGAAUCCGGGAGAGGGAUGCGGAAUUCCAGGUGUAGCGGUGAAAUGCGUAGAUAUCUGGAGGAACACCGGUGGCGAAGGCGGCCCACUGGCUCGACACUGACGCUGAGGUGCGAAAGCGUGGGGAGCAAACAGG